UAAUUGAAGAGUUUGAUCAUGGCUCAGAUUGAACGCUGGCGGCAGGCUUAACACAUGCAAGUCGAGCGGUAGCACAGGGGAGCUUGCUCCUCGGGUGACGAGCGGCGGACGGGUGAGUAAUGUCUGGGAAACUGCCUGAUGGAGGGGAUAACUACUGGAAACGCUAAUACCGCAUAACGUCGCAAGACCAAAGAGGGGGACCUUCGGCCUCUUGCCAUCAGAUGUGCCCAGAUGGGAUUAGCUAGUAGGUGGGGUAAUGGCUCACCUAGGCGACGAUCCCUAGCUGGUCUGAGAGGAUGACCAGCCACACUGGAACUGAGACACGGUCCAGACUCCUACGGAGGCAGCAGUGGGGAAUAUUGCACAAUGGGCGCAAGCCUGAUGCAGCCAUGCCGCGUGUGUGAAGAAGGCCUUCGGGUUGUAAAGCACUUUCAGCGAGGAGGAAGGUGGUGAACUUAAUACGUUCAUCAAUUGACGUUACCGCAGAAGAAGCACCGGCUAACUCCGUGCCAGCAGCCGCGGUAAUACGGAGGGUGCAAGCGUUAAUCGGAAUUACUGGGCGUAAAGCGCACGCAGGCGGUUUGUUAAGUCAGAUGUGAAAUCCCCGGGCUCAACCUGGGAACUGCAUUUGAAACUGGCAAGCUAGAGUCUCGUAGAGGGGGUAGAAUUCAGUGUAGCGGUGAAAUGCGUAGAGAAUACCGGUGGCGAAGGCGGCCCCUGGACGAAGACUGACGCUCAGGUGCGAAAGCGUGGGGAGCAAACAGGAUUAGAUACCUGGUAGUCCACGCUGUAAACGAUGUCGAUUUGGAGGUUGUGCCCUUGAGGCGUGGCUUCCGAGCUAACGCGUUAAAUCGACCGCCCGGGAGUACGGCCGCAAGGUUAAAACUCAAAUGAAUUGACGGGGCCCGCACAAGCGGUGGAGCAUGUGGUUUAAUUCGAUGCAACGCGAAGAACCUUACCUACUCUUGACAGAGAACUUAGCAGAGAUGCUUUGGUGCCUUCGGGAAC
rnacentral:rRNA from 1 species